rnacentral:rRNA from 1 species
UACAGAGGUGGCAAGCGUUGUUCGGAAUUACUGGGCUUAAAGGGCGCGUAGGCGGGCGGCCAAGUCAGGGGUGAAAGCCUCCAGCUCAACUGGAGAAGUGCCUUUGAUACUGGCCAUCUUGAGGGAGGUAGGGGCGUGCGGAACUUCCGGUGGAGCGGUGAAAUGCGUAGAUAUCGGGAGGAACACCAGUGGCGAAGGCGGCUGCCUGGGCCAGUUCUGACGCUGAGGCGCGAAAGCGUGGGGAGCAAACGGG